UACGUAGGGGGCUAGCGUUGUCCGGAAUCAUUGGGCGUAAAGAGCGUGUAGGCGGUCCGGUAAGUCCGCUGUGAAAGUCGGGGGCUCAACCCUCGAAUGCCGGUGGAUACUGUCGGGCUAGAGUGCGGAAGAGGCGAGUGGAAUUCCUGGUGUAGCGGUGAAAUGCGCAGAUAUCAGGAGGAACACCUAGUUGCGAAGGCAGCUCGCUGGGACGUAACUGACGCUGGAGACGCGAAAGCGUGGGGAGCAAACAGG
rnacentral:rRNA from 1 species